UACGGGGGGGGCAAGCGUUGUUCGGAAUUACUGGGCGUAAAGGGCUCGUAGGCGGCCAACUAAGUCGGACGUGAAAUCCCUCGGCUUAACCGGGGAACUGCGUCCGAUACUGCCGAGCUUGAGUCCGGUAGGGGAGUGUGGAAUUCCCGGUGUAGCGGUGAAAUGCGCAGAUAUCGGGAGGAACACCCGUAGCGAAGGCGGCACUCUGGGCCGGUACUGACGCUGAGGAGCGAAAGCGUGGGGAGCAAACAGGG
rnacentral:rRNA from 1 species